rnacentral:lncRNA from 1 species
CUGACUUGGCAGAAUAGAGAAGAAGCGCACCGUGGUGCCCACGCUGGCUGAAGCAAUCCAGGACGGGAGGGAAGUGAACUGGGAGUACUUCUACAGCCUGCUCUUCACUGCCGAGAACCUGAAGCUAGUGCACAUCGCCUGCCACAAGAAGACCACACACAAGCUGCAGUGCGACCGCAGCAGGAUCUAUCGGCCUCAGACAGGAUCCAGGAGGAAGCAGCCCCCUCGGAAGCAGCCCCCUCGGAAGCGCCCCCCUCGGAAACGCCAGUGACACGUGCCAUGCCCUCUUUGAGGGGGCUGCAGUGGUAAUGGGGGCCAUUAUGCUUCAUGCUUUGUCACUCCAGAAGAUUCAAGGAAAGUCUUUAGGAAUCUUUCCAAAGGAUCUGGUUUGUGU